GGAGCAUGUGGUUUAAUUNGAUGCAACGCGNNNNNCCUUACCUACUCUUGACAUCUAGAGAAGCCAGCGGAGACGCAGGUGUGCCUUCGGGAACUCUAAGACAGGUGCUGCAUGGCUGUCGUCAGCUCGUGUUGUGAAAUGUUGGGUUAAGUCCCGCAACGAGCGCAACCCUUAUCCUUGUUUGCCAGCGAGUAAUGUCGGGAACUCCAGGGAGACUGCCGGUGAUAAACCGGAGGAAGGUGGGGACGACGUCAAGUCAUCAUGGCCCUUACGAGUAGGGCUACACACGUGCUACAAUGGCGCAUACAGAGGGCAGCAAGCUAGCGAUAGUGAGCGAAUCCCAAAAAGUGCGUCGUAGUCCGGAUUGGAGUCUGCAACUCGACUCCANGAAGUCGGAAUCGC
rnacentral:rRNA from 1 species